rnacentral:lncRNA from 1 species
CUGAAGAGGGCAUGAGAGUGGGUUGGAUUAAGUGCCUCAUCUCAGCAGGGGCUGCAGAUGAGAUAAGGAGAGCAGAUCUGCCAACCCAUGCGUGGAGUCGGGGCAGGAGGGAGCGAUGAGCCAAAGCCAAUUCUCCAGCAUCUGCUGUUGGGAUCUGUUUCACAAAGUGCCCAUCCCUGUGUGAUCCUGAUUCAUCGGCCAGAAAUGCUGCCUGAACAGAGGGCUCAGAGUCGUGGCACAUUCCCUGAGCCCCUGACGCGACGGCUUAUUGCACCAAAGGCAGGAGGCAGCCCCUCCUGCUGCCAAACCAAAGAUGCCAGCAAAGAACAAAUCCCACGCUGGCAGGAGGGCAUCGCUCUUUGGGCACAGGUCAGGUGCUGCCCUGCAUCACUGCUUGUACUGCACUCAGUGCCUGCUGCUUUUAGGGCAGAAGACUUCCCACUGCCUGGUGGCUUUAGGUAUUUCUGGGUUGUCUUUUUUUUUUUUCUAUUUGUUUGUUUCCAGUUCACUUUUUUUCUUAAUGGAUAGAGCUGCUGGGGUUCCAGGAAGCAGUGCAGCUAAGUGUGGCUUUGGGUGACCAGCUGGACACAGGAGGUGCCAACUUGAAGCCAAAAAUGGAUAUUCUUCAUUUCCCCCCAAGCUGAACAUUUGUUCUGCUAAAUUCAACCCUUUCGAAUAUAGAUGGGCCUGCUGCAUGUAUAGAUUGCCUUUAACGUGAAUGACAGCAGAGCAGCUCAGCUGCCUUCCUGUGGUCAUCUCCUUAGACAUGGUGCUUUGUUUCAUAGAGCCACUGAAAGGCUGGGUUGGAAGGGACCUUAAAGACCCUCCAGCCCUAACCCCUGCUGUGUGGCUGUGUGCUCCUCAUCAGCUCAGGCUGCCCAGGGACCAUCCAUGGCCUUGGGCACCUCAAGGGAUGGGGCACCCACAGCUCUCUGGUGCUGCUGUGCUAUUCAAGUUGUGGAUGUUCUGUAAGAGGUUCUUCAUCUUGGCCACCUGAGGCUUGAACAUCCCAUUGUUUUAAUUGUUUGGUUUUUUUUGGGGGGGGGAGGUGCAAUCUCCCAGCUGCUCUUAUGUUUUGUGUUACUCAGGGUGCAAUGAGACACCCCCCUCCUCCUGGAGCUGCUCUCUCUCUUUGCAUGAAAGGGUUGCUGGAUCACUGUGUUCACCUCAUUCCCCAUGCCUCACCUGGCAGAUAGCUGGAGGGAGCAGCUGGGGGCAGAAACCACUUCAGCUAACAAAGCUGCAAGCAGAGAGAAUCACAGAAUCAUAAAAUCAUAGAAUGGCCUGGGUUGAAAAGGACCACAAUGCUCAUCCAGUUCCAACCCCCUGCUAUGUGCAGGGUCACCAACCAGCAGACCAGGCUGCCCAGAGCCACAUCCAGCCUGGCCUUGAGUGCCUCCAGGGAUGGGGCAUCCACAACCUCCUUGGGCAGCCUGUUCCAGAGCAGGGGUAUUGCACCAUGACAGCC